rnacentral:lncRNA from 1 species
CUGAUCUCAAAGGACAACACAGUUUCAUACUGAUUUACUUUGUUGAUAUGUGGCGGACCCUGCCACAAUUCCAACAAGUCCUCCAACUCAUACGCCCACAGUUGUCGUUGGUCCAUGCACUCGAAUACGACCAUUUGGAGCGUUUUACCACCCCCCUGGAGCGUUUCCAAAAAGCGCCCCCUGUCGGUGACAUGGGAACAGAUACUUUUACAGAACAGAACGGAUUACAGCUAAUUUAUUUUGUUAGCCGCCCUUAAUGAGCUAACCAAGAUGCCAACUCAAAAAAAAUGUGCAGUGUGUGAGGAGAAAAUUGGGGUGGCAAGCAAGACUUGCCACCACUGUGGUGCAAAGCAGCCCCUGAAAGAGAAGCUGCAAAAAAAAAAAGAAAAAAUUACAGCCGGAUGGAAAGAGCGGCAGAAAAAAAACUGCAGCUUCAAUAAAACGUAUGAUUCAUCACAUUUACUGCUCCACAAGUGGGAACUUUUGGAGAGGCACCCCAUCCUCUUCCUAGGAAAAAAAAGCGGAAGGGGCUUUGUGUCAGAGUGGCUGUGUCCAUGGUACAGUGAGAAUGAGAUUGUGAAAGCUUCCAUCCAAGCCAUGGAAGCAAUUUAUGGGAGACUUCUCAAUGGUAAUGUAUAUAAAUGUGCAAUAACGCAAACACAUGAGACUGUUCAGGGAGACACUAGUUACAUUACUUGUCCACUGCCCCAUCCAUUGUUUUUUGUGUUCUUUUAAAUGAUUAGUUUGAUGUUACAAUUGUAAACUGAAAGUGUGUGGUCCAAACAGCAGCAAC